rnacentral:rRNA from 1 species
CAGCCGCGGUAACACCGGCAGCUCUAGUGGUAGCAAUUUUAUUGGGCCUAAAGCGUCCGUAGCCGGUUUAAUAAGUCUCUGGUGAAAUCCUGCAGCUUAACUGUGGGAAUUGCUGGAGAUACUAUUAGACUUGAGACCGGGAGAGGUUAGAGGUACUCCCAGGGUAGAGGUGAAAUUCUGUAAUCCUGGGAGGACCGCCUGUUGCGAAGGCGUCUAACUGGAACGGUUCUGACGGUGAGGGACGAAAGUUAGGGGCGCGAACCGGAUUAGAUACCCGGGUAGUCCUAACUGUAAACGAUGCGGACUUGGUGUUGGGGUGGCUUUGAGCUGCUUCAGUGCCGAAGGGAAGCUGUUAAGUCCGCCGCCUGGGAAGUACGGUCGCAAGACUGAAACUUAAGGAAUUGGCGGGGGAGCACCACAACGCGUGGAGCCUGCCGGUUUAAUUGGAUUCAACGCCGGACAUCUCACCAGAGGCGACAGCUGUAUGAUAGCCAGGUUGAUGACUUUGCUUGACUAGCUGAGAGGUGGUGCAUGG